rnacentral:rRNA from 1 species
AGAGUUUGAUCCUGGCUCAGGAUGAACGCUGGCGGCGUGCUUAACACAUGCAAGUCGAACGAACCUUCGGGUUAGUGGCGGACGGGUGAGUAACGCGUGGGAACCUGCCCUCAGGAGGGGGAUAACGGUUGGAAACGGCCGCUAAUACCCCAUAUGCCGAGAGGUGAAACGAAUUUCGCCUGAGGAUGGGCCCGCGUCUGAUUAGCUAGUUGGUGGGGUAAGAGCCUACCAAGGCGACGAUCAGUAGCUGGUCUGAGAGGAUGAUCAGCCACACUGGGACUGAGACACGGCCCAGACUCCUACGGGAGGCAGCAGUGGGGAAUUUUCCGCAAUGGGCGAAAGCCUGACGGAGCAACGCCGCGUGAGGGAUGAAGGCCUCUGGGCUGUAAACCUCUUUUCUCAAGGAAGAAGACCUGACGGUACUUGAGGAAUAAGCCACGGCUAAUUCCGUGCCAGCAGCCGCGGUAAUACGGGAGUGGCAAGCGUUAUCCGGAAUUAUUGGGCGUAAAGCGUCCGCAGGUGGCCCUGUAAGUCUGUCGUUAAAGCGUGGAGCUUAACUCCAUUUAAGCGAUGGAAACUACAGGGCUAGAGUGUGGUAGGGACAGAGGGAAUUCCCGGUGUAGCGGUGAAAUGCGUAGAUAUCGGGAAGAACACCAGUGGCGAAGGCGCUCUGCUGGGCCAUCACUGACACUCAUGGACGAAAGCCAGGGGAGCGAAAGGGAUUAGAUACCCCUGUAGUCCUGGCCGUAAACGAUGAACACUAGGUGUCGGGGGAAUCGACCCCCUCGGUGUCGUAGCCAACGCGUUAAGUGUUCCGCCUGGGGAGUACGCACGCAAGUGUGAAACUCAAAGGAAUUGACGGGGGCCCGCACAAGCGGUGGAGUAUGUGGUUUAAUUCGAUGCAACGCGAAGAACCUUACCAGGGUUUGACAUCCUGCGAAUCCCUUGGAAACGAGGGAGUGCCUUCGGGAGCGCAGAGACAGGUGGUGCAUGGCUGUCGUCAGCUCGUGUCGUGAGAUGUUGGGUUAAGUCCCGCAACGAGCGCAACCCACGUCGUUAGUUGCCAGCAUUCAGUUGGGCACUCUAGCGAGACCGCCGGUGAUAAACCGGAGGAAGGUGUGGAUGACGUCAAGUCAUCAUGCCCUUACAUCCUGGGCUACACACGUACUACAAUGCUACGGACAAAGGGCAGCGAUCCCGCGAGGGCUAGCAAAUCCCAUAAACCGUGGCUCAGUUCAGAUCGUAGGCUGCAACUCGCCUACGUGAAGGAGGAAUCGCUAGUAAUCGCAGGUCAGCAUACUGCGGUGAAUACGUUCCCGGGCCUUGUACACACCGCCCGUCACACCAUGGAAGUUGGCCACGCCCGAAGUCGUUACUCCAACCCUUGUGGAGGAGGACGCCGAAGGUGGGGCUGAUGACUGGGGUGAAGUC